CCAGCUGCAAAGGCUGCGAUUCGUCGCUGCACGUGCACAGAGCCACGCUGCUGGCUCAUCUAUCGUGACGGGGUCAAGGUCCGAGGCUUCCACCAACCCGCCAGCUCGCCCUCGACGGGCAAAGUUUACAACAGACGGCGCGCAUCACCAGCAAGGCCAGGGCUCUCCCUGCGAGGCUCAGCAGCUUCUCGACGAGUCGGCCUCGUCCCUGCGCGAGGACCGCUGCCUGCUCGACGACACCAGGCAUGGACUUGCCCUUCCCUCGCGAGGUGGACCCGCUGUUUGUCCAGAGAUCCCCUCGCUCUCGUUCCCGGCCAGGAGGGUGGCUGGGCACUGCGCGUGGCAACACGGACGAGGCGAGGCAGGAGGACCAGGGUCAGAGCGGGACAGCGCAUGCGAGGGACGCUACGAGGUCGACUUUCGGCGGGAAGAUGGGAUGUGCGCGAGGUUGGCGCGGUCCAGUACACGCACCGAGCACUGCUGAGCUCGCCCCCAGCGGUUCGUGUGCUCGCAGGCUCUGGUGUUGGAACCGCUUGAGUGCAAUUCGCGGUGGGAGGAGGUUCGCUUCCUCCUAACUCGAUUCGGACUACUCUUGCGGCUGG
rnacentral:RNase_P_RNA from 2 species